GACGAACGCUGGCGGCGUGCUUAACACAUGCAAGUCGAACGGAAAGGCCCUGCUUUUGUGGGGUGCUCGAGUGGCGAACGGGUGAGUAACACGUGAGUAACCUGCCCUUGACUUUGGGAUAACGUGAGGAAACUGGGGCUAAUACCGGAUAGGAGCUCCUGCUGCAUGGUGGGGGUUGGAAAGUUUCGGCGGUUGGGGAUGGACUCGCGGCUUAUCAGCUUGUUGGUGGGGUAGUGGCUUACCAAGGCUUUGACGGGUAGCCGGCCUGAGAGGGUGACCGGCCACAUUGGGACUGAGAUACGGCCCAGACUCCUACGGGAGGCAGCAGUGGGGAAUAUUGCACAAUGGGCGGAAGCCUGAUGCAGCAACGCCGCGUGCGGGAUGACGGCCUUCGGGUUGUAAACCGCUUUCGCCUGUGACGAAGCGUGAGUGACGGUAAUGGGUAAAGAAGCACCGGCUAACUACGUG
rnacentral:rRNA from 1 species